rnacentral:rRNA from 1 species
AUGGCGGCACCCCAGAGCCCACGGAUCUGGGCGACCUCGUCCUCGACCUGCACCCUGGAGAGGGCGGGGGGCGCGCACUUGUUCAGGAUCGACGGCUACAGCCUGUCCAAGGGCCUCGGCAAGGGCAACUUCCUCCCGUCGGCCACCUUCGCCGUCGGCGGCCACGACUGGCGCCUCCUCUUCUACCCCGACGGCGACACGGAGGCCAGAAACGGCUCCAUCUCGGUCCACCUCGAGCUCAUGGACGAGGGCGUGGAGGUGAGGGCGCUGUACGAUCUGACGCUAUUCAAGCAAGCCGAACCGAAGUCGGGGUGCUUCGUGUGGACAAAACCAACGGAGCCGGUGGUGUUCAGCCGCUCCCCUGGUAAAACCUCGCACCGUGGCCAUUCCAAUUUCGCGGGGAGGAGCAUGCUCGAAGCUUGGUCGUACUUGUACUUCCCCCGCGACGUCCUUAUCGUUAAGUGCAAGCUCCUUGUUAUCAAGCUGAAGGAAGCACAGAUGCCAAAAACCAGAAUGAACUUCGAGACCAUCCAAGUGCCGCCUUCAGACUUGUCGCAUAAUCUUGGAAGUUUGCUAGAGGCGGGGGAGGAAUCGGAUGUGUCUUUCAAGGUCAAAGAUGAGGUUUUCACUGCCCAUAAGAUUGUCCUCGCGAUGCGGUCGCCGGUCUUCAAGGCGGAGCUCUAUGGGCCGAUGAGGGACAAGUGCGGGCAGAGCAUAGCCAUUGAAGACAUGGAGCCCGCUGUUUUCAAAGCGCUGCUUCACUUUAUCUACACAGAUGAGUUGCCGCCCAUGGAUGACCUGAUGAUGACAGAGAAGAAAUGGUCAAGCAUUUGCUCGUGGCUUCGGAUAGGUAUGCCAUGGAAAGGAUGGAGUUGA